AGAGUUUGAUCAUGGCUCAGGACGAACGCUGGCGGCGUGCCUAACACAUGCAAGUCGAACGGAGCAAAGCCCUUCGGGACUUUACUUAGUGGCGAACGGGUGAGUAACGCGUGAGGAACCUGCCUUCCAGUGGGGGACAACAGUUGGAAACGACUGCUAAUACCGCAUGAUGCUUUUGGGGGACAUCCCCUGAAAGUCAAAGCUUUAUGUGCUGGAAGAUGGCCUCGCGUCUGAUUAGCUAGUUGGUGAGGAAACGGCCCACCAAGGCGACGAUCAGUAGCCGGUCUGAGAGGAUGAACGGCCACAUUGGGACUGAGAUACGGCCCAGACUCCUACGGGAGGCAGCAGUGGGGAAUAUUGCACAAUGGGGGAAACCCUGAUGCAGCGACGCCGCGUGGAGGAAGAAGGUCUUCGGAUUGUAAACUCCUGUUGUUGAGGAAGAUAAUGACGGUACUCAACAAGGAAGUGACGGCUAACUACGUGCCAGCAGCCGCGGUAAAACGUAGGUCACAAGCGUUGUCCGGAAUUACUGGGUGUAAAGGGAGCGCAGGCGGGAAGACAAGUUGGAAGUGAAAUCCAUGGGCUCAACCCAUGAACUGCUUUCAAAACUGUUUUUCUUGAGUAGUGCAGAGGUAGGCGGAAUUCCCGGUGUAGCGGUGGAAUGCGUAGAUAUCGGGAGGAACACCAGUGGCGAAGGCGGCCUACUGGGCACCAACUGACGCUGAGGCUCGAAAGUGUGGGUAGCAAACAGGAUUAGAUACCCUGGUAGUCCACACUGUAAACGAUGAUUACUAGGUGUUGGAGGAUUGACCCCUUCAGUGCCGCAGUUAACACAAUAAGUAAUCCACCUGGGGAGUACGACCGCAAGGUUGAAACUCAAAGGAAUUGACGGGGGCCCGCACAAGCAGUGGAGUAUGUGGUUUAAUUCGACGCAACGCGAAGAACCUUACCAAGUCUUGACAUCCAUCGACGACUAUAGAAAUAUAGUUUUCCUUCGGGACGGUGAGACAGGUGGUGCAUGGUUGUCGUCAGCUCGUGUCGUGAGAUGUUGGGUUAAGUCCCGCAACGAGCGCAACCCUUAUGGUCAGUUACUACGCAAGAGGACUCUGGCCAGACUGCCGUUGACAAAACGGAGGAAGGUGUGGAUGACGUCAAAUCAUCAUGCCCUUUAUGACUUGGGCUACACACGUACUACAAUGGCGUUAAACAAAGAGAAGCAAGACCGCGAGGUGGAGCAAAACUCAGAAACAACGUCCCAGUUCGGACUGCAGGCUGCAACUCGCCUGCACGAAGUCGGAAUUGCUAGUAAUCGCAGAUCAGCAUGCUGCGGUGAAUACGUUCCCGGGCCUUGUACACACCGCCCGUCACACCAUGAGAGCCGGGGGGACCCGAAGUCGGUAGUC
rnacentral:rRNA from 1 species